rnacentral:rRNA from 1 species
AUUGAACGCUGGCGGCAGGCCUAACACAUGCAAGUCGAGCGGAGCGGCGGACGGGGGAGUAAUGGCUAGGAAUCUGGCUGGGAGUGAGGGAUAACGUCCGGAAACGGGCACUAAUACCACUACCUAGCAGAAGAGGCUAAGUCGGAUUAGCUUUUUGUUGGGGUAAAGGCCUACCAAGGCGACGGUCCGUAACUGGUCUGGGAGGAUGAUCAGUCACACUGGAACUGAGACACGGUCCAGACUCCGACGGGAGGCAGCAGUGGGGAAUAUUGGACAAUGUGCGAAAGCCUGAUCCAGCCAUGCCGCGUGUGUGAAGAAGGCCUUCGGAUUGUAAAGCACUUUAAGUUGGGAGGCGUUACCAACAGAAUAAGCACCGGCUAACUCCGUGCCAGCAGCCGCGGUAAUUC